CCCGUUAUAAGAAUGGCUGGUGCUACCCAGCAAUUCCAAUAGGACAUCGAUGGAAAAUGAUUCGAUAUCUGUCAAAAUUAAUCUUGCUCUGCGAGCAGGGUUAUUUGGUAAUUAUUGAAAUGUCACUUUUAAGUUUAAUUUCAGUUUAAUUAUCCAAUUGAGACAGACCCUAAGUGUGCUCCUAAGGAACUCCAGCAGCAGGCGACUAUGACCCAGAUGUGAAUCCGGACUUUUUUUGCUCUCUCGUUCUCGGAACACUGAUCCAACGGAAUACAGGAGCUUAGCUAACCCACAGCCAGUGUAUCUGUUCUAAUAACAUAUGUAUAUUUUGGGAAAAGAUUUCCACUCAAUCAAAUAGGUAUACCUAUACCUAUACUAUAGUCACUAUGAAGUUUGCUGCGAAACGGCAAUCCUGUUUGGUCUUUGCGGCAACCAAGAAUAUCCCGAAUGCAUACUACUGGUUCAACGGUUGUUGGAGCCGGACGGUUGAAUCUAAACGGGUUACGUCGGUUGAUUAUUUUUCAUAUCAUUGCUUCGCUGAACAGACAAACAUUCGACGUUCGAGGGGACAGCACAACAAGUGUAUUCAAUAGUUGACGCGGAUAGAAUCCAAGUAUUGGACAACCAAAAUAAUCAACUGAAGAGAAUGCCUGACCCGCGGUCUGACCUAAAUCCGAUCCAUUGUCAUCUGUUGCCAGUUACGGAGUAUUUUCACAAGGAGUUUUAAAUUUCGUUACCCCAUGCUUCGAAUGCUACCCGAUAUGCCAAAUAUGUAUAUUGUUAAUACCCGAUGCUGCUAUUGGUGUGUUUCCACUCCGACCAUCAUGACUCGGUUCCAACAACUGCACUGGGGAUUAUGUUGUUGAUCAUAUGUUAUUUGUCAGUGUUCAGGUGAUUAGAAUUUGAAAGAACAUUAACUUCGCUUUGCUGUAUAGGACCGUCCGGACCGAGGUAUGCCACCCUGCCACCAUAUUCCAUCAUGUUUGUGUAUUCA